UGCUCACGGUCGUAUGUACAAGUCUGGCAACUAUCGUGGUGGGGGCAAUGCUAUUAGUGAAAGCCAAAUGUUUCUCGAUUUGUCCGCUAGACAGUAAAACACAGUCAAGAGUUUGAAUUGCUUAUGUGUAAUAUAAUGUAGACACGCGAGUGUAUAGUAACUAUGCUAAGUAUACCAUAUAUGUAUAUCAGCGGGUGUAUAAAUAUAUAUAUAUAUACACACUGUUUUCUAUAACUUCUAGAUCGUAGCGCUCUAUGACUAGUGGCUGAUUUAUGAAGCACACAUUAUGAUGUUAAGAGCCUUAUCUCCACUGUGGGAAUUGCUACCUGUGUAUACGACUUUGGACGACGUGGACGUGCUCUAACACUGUUGAUGGAAAGGUCCACACUCAUGAGAGCGAAAAUCCCCUUUUUCUCUUCUUAAUUACCAAUUCUAAUAAUGUAAUUAUGUCUUAUCAAUGAUCCAAGAUCAUGUAAUGCGAAGUUAUACGAUUUUCCCGCCAUAUCCAAAGCAAGUUUGAGACUAUCUGCCCGCCACUUUACUUUAACAAAAUUAUUCAUUAACAAUGGCGUAUCGUCGUUUAAUGGAAAAUAAAAUAUGACAUAAAGUGAUUCGAUGAAACAUUCGAUGCCCAGCAUUAUCAUCUUCCGCGAAUCUCCCACAAAACAUGGUAUAAAUAACGAUUGCACGAUCCCCUAGAAAUUAUAAAAAUAAAUAGUAAACCAAAUAUUUUCCCAAAAUCAAAUUUUUGAAAAAUUAAACAAAUAUUUAACCUCUGAAAGUGGUGUGAUAGUUAUUUCAAUUUUUUUAGUGCCUCUAGCUAAUACUUCUCCUUUUUCAGGACACACGCAAAGUUUCAUCUUUGACGAAUCUAAACCACUAACUUCACCCCACGAAUAAUUCAAUGAGUCAUCAGCGAGAUUCUUUAAUAUAAAAAUGUAAGUUUCCUCGACGCCGAUGUAUAGAGUCCUGUCACGCGUAAUAAUCUUAAUAAGAAAUAUAAAGCUUUUUGAGUAACAUAAAUUAUCUUAAAAUUACAAGCCUUGCGGGUCUAAUGAUACCCAUGCUUAUUAUAUGCUCUUGCCACAGUAGGUCGAAUUGGUUUAGGUUUACUAAAUCGUGGUGAUAAAAUAACUCAUCUGCUCCCUACAAUGUAGUAAAUUUCUAUAAUUUUGUAAACACAAUAAAGAUGACAACAGAAAUGAAAAAUUAA